rnacentral:rRNA from 1 species
UUACCCACUCCCGGCACGGGGAGGUAGUGACGAAAAAUAACGAUACGGGACUCAUCCGAGGCCCCGUAAUCGGAAUGAGGACACUCUAAACCCUUUAACGAGGAUCAAUUGGAGGGCAAGUCUGGUGCCAGCAGCCGCGGUAAUUCCAGCUCCAAUAGCGUAUAUUAAAGUUGUUGCGGUUAAAAAGCUCGUAGUCGAAUCUGUGUCCCGCGCCGCCGGUUCAUCGUCCGCGGUGUCAACUGGCGUGCCGCGGGACGUCCUGCCGGUGGGCUUAGCUCGCAAGGGCGGCCCAACUCAAUCCUGCCGCGGUGCUCUUCAUUGAGUGUCGAGGUGGGCCGGCACGUUUACUUUGAACAAAUUAGAGUGCUUAAAGCAGGCUAAAACUUCGCCUGAAUACUGUGUGCAUGGAAUAAUGGAAUAGGACCUCGGUUCUAUUUUG